rnacentral:rRNA from 1 species
CCCCUAGUAGCGGCGAGCGAAGCGGGAAGAGCUCAAAUUUAUAAUCUGGCACCUUCGGUGUCCGAGUUGUAAUCUCUAGAAGUGUUUUCCGCGUUGGACCGCACACAAGUCUGUUGGAAUACAGCGGCAUAGUGGUGAAACCCCCGUAUAUGGUGCGGACGCCCAGCGCUUUGUGAUACACUUUCAAUGAGUCGAGUUGUUUGGGAAUGCAGCUCAAAUUGGGUGGUAAAUUCCAUCUAAAGCUAAAUAUUGGCGAGAGACCGAUAGCGAACAAGUACCGUGAGGGAAAGAUGAAAAGCACUUUGGAAAGAGAGUUAACAGUACGUGAAAUUGUUGGAAGGGAAACGCUUGAAGUCAGACUUGCUUGCCGGAGCUUGCUUCGGUUUGCAGGCCAGCAUCAGUUUUCCGGGGUGGAUAAUGACGGUUUGAAGGUAGCAGUCUCGGCUGUGUUAUAGCUUUCCGUUGGAUACAUCCUGGGGGACUGAGGAACGCAGCGUGC